rnacentral:tRNA from 1 species
CUCUGGGUAGUUCAGCGGUGGAACGCUCGGCUCUGACCCGAGUCGUCGCUGGUUCGAGCCCAGCCCCAGAGG